CGUCCUACGGGAGAAAGCAGGGGACCUUCGGGCCUUGCGCUAUCAGAUGAGCCUAGGUCGGAUUAGCUAGUUGGUGGGGUAAUGGCUCACCAAGGCGACGAUCCGUAACUGGUCUGAGAGGAUGAUCAGUCACACUGGAACUGAGACACGGUCCAGACUCCUACGGGAGGCAGCAGUGGGGAAUAUUGGACAAUGGGCGAAAGCCUGAUCCAGCCAUGCCGCGUGUGUGAAGAAGGUCUUCGGAUUGUAAAGCACUUUAAGUUGGGAGGAAGGGCAGUAAGUUAAUACCUUGCUGUUUUGACGUUACCGACAGAAUAAGCACCGGCUAACUCUGUGCCAGCAGCCGCGGUAAUACAGAGGGUGCAAGCGUUAAUCGGAAUUACUGGGCGUAAAGCGCGCGUAGGUGGUUCGUUAAGUUGGAUGUGAAAGCCCCGGGCUCAACCUGGGAACUGCAUCCAAAACUGGCGAGCUAGAGUACGGUAGAGGGUGGUGGAAUUUCCUGUGUAGCGGUGAAAUGCGUAGUAUAGGAAGGAACACCAGUGGCGAAGG
rnacentral:rRNA from 1 species